CUAAAACACACACACACUUCACGCCAUUUUCAUUUUAGCUUGAGCUCAAGCUUUUGACCUCCGAUUUGAGCACCGAGACGAGCGCCGAUCAUCUUUUCGAUCACGUAUCUAAGUAGGUCCUUUUGGGAAGUAACGACUUGAGGGAGAGAGUGACGUUACUCAUUGAUACAGAGACACAACGAGGUUGAGCUGAUGUGAUGAUGGUGCUGCAAUGAGCGGAGUCUCCAGGGUUGUUAAUAAAUAGUUAACCUGUCUAGAAUAUGUCUUCAUACAUAUGUCUAGCUACUUUCCGCUGCAAGAUAUUGUUGAUGUUAUAGUAUGUUAUGUCAUACUUUGAGUCUUAAGAGAAUGGUUUCAUACGAUGUAUAACUUGAUUAAUGAUAUUAAUUAAGUUUUAUGCUGUCUUUCAUAGACUGUUUUCAAUUGAGUAUUAAUGAAUAAAAAUGACGAGUUUUAUUAAGAUGAGUAAGUUUUACGGCUAUAAAUGACGCCCCUUUUCUUCCCCUUCUUCUUUAACCCCAUCCCUAGUCGUGGAUCACUCGGCCUAACUAUCCAUAGUUAGGGCGGGCUGUGACAGAGUGGUAUCAGAGCGAAGGUUAAGCUCUGAAUUAGAAGUCUUGAGUUUAGUCUAGAAUGAGUCACUAGACUAAUAGUUAUUAACAACCGUGAGCUCAGCGCACCAUCACACCAGGCUCAACGAGGUAUGUAAAAUUUCAAAGUUUAUUUGACGUUAAAUUUUGAAGAGCACGAUGUUGAGGUUAUAUGAUGAGUUAUGAUGUUAUGCUUUGAAGAUGCAUAGUUUGAGUUUGAGGAUGACAACAUGAUUAAUAAUGAGUUAUUAUGUUGUAAGAGCAUAUGUUGACGUUACAUGAUGAAUCAUGAGA